UACGUAGGGUGCGAGCGUUGUCCGGAAUUAUUGGGCGUAAAGAGCUUGUAGGCGGUCUGUCGCGUCUGCUGUGAAAAUCCGGGGCUCAACCCCGGACUUGCAGUGGGUACGGGCAGACUAGAGUGUGGUAGGGGAGACUGGAAUUCCUGGUGUAGCGGUGAAAUGCGCAGAUAUCAGGAGGAACACCGAUGGCGAAGGCAGGUCUCUGGGCCACUACUGACGCUGAGAAGCGAAAGCAUGGGUAGCGAACAGG
rnacentral:rRNA from 1 species